CUUUGCCUUACCGUAUGGCACAAUACUUGCAUGUAGACGUGAAGUUUAUGAUCUACAUACAUCUAUUGAGCCAUCCGGUAUUCUUGCAAAGUUA
rnacentral:miRNA from 1 species